rnacentral:lncRNA from 1 species
AUACAUUGAUUUAUGUAAAUAUGUAAUAGAGCACACUUUAAGUGUGUCAAAAAUUGAGUGUGUCGAAUACGUCAUACAAUGUAAUACGAAUAUAACUCGAAGAUAAUGUAACAUACAACGUCGUUGUACAGAAUUUAAUUGUUGAUGAAUAAUACAUUGUCAGUCGACGGAUUAUGAUCUAACGGUCGAAAAAGUUUCACUUAAAUAUUACGAAACUAGAAGGUUUGACACAUAAAAGGUUUGACACAACUGAAACUAGCUCAAAUGUAAUAUUACGAAAGAAAAGAUAAACACUUAAAUAUUUAAAAAUUAUAAUAAAUCACUAUAAAUUACAAACUUACAACCUACAAAAGUACAAACACCUAAAAAAAAAUAACGGAAAACUCGCCUGAAUAAAAAAAACCUAACGACACUCAUAUCCGUCCAUGGCCGAUUUCGAUAUUCAUCCUUCAGGAACCUUCUGAGGAGCGGAUAACGUGAAGAGAGACUCUAGAUCCGUCGGGUAGAAAUAUGCAGCGACGAUCUUCGGUUGUGAUUUAAACAAACACUGCGUUGAUUUUAUCUUCAUCUUCUUCUUCCUCGGAGGCGGCGGACAUGGAAGUAUCGUCGGAAUCCGGUGCUCUCUUCUCGUCGGCGUCUGCCAUCCUUCUUCCUUCUCCAUUCCCAUCUCUCUGUUUGAGUUUCAGGUUGUAUAUAGGGGCGUGCGUACUGAGUUUUUUAUAGCCAUUUAUUUUCUCCGUUUGACACGUGGAGGAUUUUGAUUUGGCUGAGUGCUUAUGUGGCGGGAAUUGGAGGCGGGAACGUUGAAUUUGGAUUGAAAUCGUGGCCGUUGGUUUUGUUUGGAAAUGAAGAUAGUGUGCUUCCUUAGAUUAUUGUGGGUAUUUAUUUCAUUUUUCGAAAUGGUAGGUAUUUUAUUAUAUUUGAUUUUUGAGUUGAAUCAAUGGAUUUGAUCUGUGGGCUCCGACUGAGUAAUAAAUAUGCACCAUGAAGGUGCGACCCAACCA